GUCAUGGAGAAGGAUGUCUUCAGGGAGAGUGUGCUGCUCUUUGGCAGGUCCGGCAGUCUGGACCUGGCAGAGUUGAACUGCUGAUAUUGGUAAAAAAGUAUUUGACAAGAAGGUCCGUAUUCUCCCUCUGGAACGAGCGGUGUGCAUCCAAGUCGUGGGUUGCUAUCCUCCUGUCCACAGCCAAUCUGAGGAUUCCAGAAGACAGUAUUUGAAGAAGACAUAUUUUACUGAAGGACUCAUGGAUUGCGGGGUCCCACGACAUCAUCUCAUAGAUGCAGUCGAUGGUUUGUUCCGGAUUCAGGCUCGUUUCCGGGAAGUAAACCUGACAGACAUUCAGAGGAACGGGAGCUGCAUUCAGUUAGGACGUGAAUACAUGAAAUGCUCCUCUCAGGACCUUCUAGAAGAAUGCGCUGGGACCCAGUUUCUGCGUCCUGCUGGAACCAGAGACGGAGAUAUUUCCCAGGUGUCUGAAAGCCUGCAUUGAGCUGAGCCUUAAGAGAGAAGUUUGGAAUUCAGUUUUGAGAGUAGACAGCCAGUC